GUCUCUUUCAAUCCCUCUUCUCUCGUGUCUUUCUCAGAAUCGCUCUCUCUCAGAAAACCCAAUCGCUCACUCACAAAACCGUUCUCUCAACCUCACGACCCUUUCUCAAACGCUCACAAACUCAAGUCUCUCUCAUCAACGCCCUCUCUCAAACGCUCACAAACUCACGAACCACGGCGAGCUAAGACCAAAAGUAUAAAGGAGAAAAAAACAAACGAAGACUUACUUCCGGCGACGGCAGUGACUCAGGGUUUCGGUUUGAUGCUCAAUGGUCCAAUGGAGGAAGUUUCAGGAUUGCUUUUUGAUGCUCAGAGAUGAUUGCCCUGUUUGAUCAUUGGACCCGGAAAGUGAAAGAUUGAACAUCGAUUUCGGUUUUCUCACAGCCUUGUUGGUGUACUCGGUUUUGGAUGGCUCGAGUCCAGUUUUUUCGUUAAGUGACCCAAAGCAAAAUUAACACUUGUAUGAGGAUCCCUUUCCAAGAUGGGACUCGCAGAGGAAUGAGAAUAAGCUUCACUCCUGGAUAUUUGUUUGCUGGCAGAGACAUCUGAUGGACUCACACAUCCCAAAUUCGAUUCAUGUGGCUCUGUAGCAUGUGAGGCAAACCGCUGCACCUCUCGUUUUGCUGUUUGAAUCUCUCUGAAGACUGGUUUCAGGUUUCUUUCUUCAUUAAAUAGAAUAUCAAUGUAACUAAUAUUUGCUAUGCUAACAGCCUCAUUAACAAUGCCGAUCCGGGUUUUUUUUUUUUUACGGGCCUCUCUGGAGUUUUAUCCGAUGAAAUGGCAGGAACAGAUUUGAGAGGUCGUGUGAAGAGCAAUCUCUUUCUGAUAAAAGGCAAGACACUGGAGCGCAAACUUAUCCAUCGAGUCCAAUUCCAAAUCCAGUGCAGCAUCAUAAUCCUUGAUCGCCUUUGUAUUGUCCGACAGCAUGGUAGCAUGCAGCUCGUAAAUAUAAGGACUCAAUGUUGACACCAUCGAUAUUCAACCCCAUUGUCAAAUCUUUGAUAGCUUUCCUAUGCUCUCCCAUUGCAUGGAACGAAAGGCCUCGCAAAUGAUAAGCUCUUGCAAACCUCCCGUCAAUUUGCAGCACUUCAGUUAGACACUCAAAAGCUUUUGUCGGAUUUGAUAAAUCUUUAUAGAACUGAGCCAGGUGUCCCCAUGCUUCAAGGGAACUUUUAUCAAGUUGAAAUGAUUUUAGAUAUGCUUCCUCAGCUUUCACCAAUUGAAGAUAAUGCCAGGCCCAAAUAUGUGUAGGCAAACUUAUUAUCCUUGUCUAGCUGCACACAAGCAGAAAGGUCAACAAAUGGUGUUAUUGCAGAAGUUGGUAUGCUGUUGGCUUUUUUGCAGGUUUAACCUUCUCAAAUUGGGCAAAGUCAAAACCUUUAGGCCGGCCUGAACCAACGGAAAAUGUUCCUUUGAUGAAUAUUCUGUAGCAGGUCUUAAUUUAUCACUUCCUUCUGAAUAAGCCCAUUUUGAACUAUUGCUACCAGCAACAUCUGCAGAAGACCGCCCAGGCCGUAUUUGCUCACCACAAGGUAUGCUUCCUUGGUUGUGGAUUGGUUUUGAACUUGUGCGCUGCCUAGCUGUCAUUGUGGAUGAGAUGAGUAAAUCCCUUAUUGACGGCUAUGUUUGAAAAUUGGUAAUACUAGUGACAUUUUGGUAAGGUGUUUUAAAAUCUUGGUUAUGGUUUUGUCUAAUGUUGUUCCAAAAAGGAUUGUUUGUGGGAUUGGUUGUUGAUUGUCGUAGUGAAUCUUUGCAGGUCUGUUUAGAUACCAGUUAUCAAUGGGUGAAAGUCCCUUACCUAAAGAGAUGCAGGUAACAACGACAUGCUGGAUUAUCCACGACUUAUUUUUUUGGAAAUGGAAAGGUAGUUCAAGCAGAAUGGAGCCGAUGCCUCUCCACCCAUAAGACGAGCAGCAUAUGUCUUGUGCAUAAGAGCUUCUCCUUGAAGCUUGCCAGCCAUGUCUAAAUUUCCGCCUAUAAGCUCGGCCACAAAGCUUGCGCCAGCCUGUGAAAGAUUGCCACAAAACUUCGAAGAACGACUUUAUGCUACUACUCAAGCAAAUCUUCUGAUUUAAUUGUGACUUGUAGAUUGAUUAGCAUCUUUAGUAACAUAUUUCUAACAAUCACAUGCUUUUCCAUUGAUUCUCUCAUAAUUGGACGUUGUGCAUCACAAA